UUAAACAAGUAUUAAGAAUCAAAUCAGUCUCUCUCUGCUCGUCUGGAACAAUGCGAACGAGUCAAACUGUUGAACCCCUCAAUUUUCUUAUACAUAUACGCGAUUCGUCACUGUGUAUUUCGUUCACUGAGAAAGCAAAAACACUUUCUACUUCGAAAGUGUUGUCUUUUUCUCUGAGAAAAGCCACAGGAGUAAAAUCAUGGACGUUGCACGUCAAGUGUUUGUGUUAUUGUCUGUGUUAGUAGCGUCUUGGGGAUUAAAGAUAUGUGAGGCUGCAGGGAAGUUCAGCUUCGAAGUUCACCACGUGUUCUCUGAUGCGGUCAAGCAAAAUCUUGGUUUUGCUGACAAUCUUGUGCCGGAAGUGGGAAGCUUGGAGUACUUCAAGGUUUUGGCCCACCGUGAUCAGUUGAUCAGAGGUCGAGGUCUUGCCUCCAACAACGACGAACCUCCGGUAACGUUCAUGCGAGGAAACCGCACGCUUGCACUCGACCUUCUUGGAGCCCUUCAUUAUGCUAAUGUAUCUGUGGGGACACCGGCUACUUGGUUCCUGGUGGCUCUGGACACAGGCAGCGAUUUGUUUUGGUUGCCUUGCAACUGUGGUACCACUUGCAUCCACGACUUGAAAGAUGCUGGACUUUCAGAGAGCCGGCCACUCAAUCUAUACAGUCCCAACGCAUCUUUCACGAGUUCAGCCAUUAGAUGCAGCGACGAGCGUUGUUUUGGAUCAAGACAAUGUUCUUCUCCUGCAAGUAUUUGCCCUUAUCAGAUCCAGUACCUCUCUAACAACGCAGUCACCAGAGGGACAUUGUUCGAGGAUGUAUUGCAUCUGGUCACAGAGGACGAGGAGUUAGAGCCUGUUGAAGCUAAUAUCACGCUUGGCUGCGGUCAGAAUCAGACAGGUUCGCUCCAGAGCAGAGUGGCUGUGAACGGUCUUCUCGGGCUUGGUUUGAAAGAUUACUCUGUUCCGAGUGUACUGGCAAAAGCAAAUAUCACCGCAAACUCCUUCUCAAUGUGUUUCCCGGAUACUAAUAGCGUUGGCAUUAUUGGAAGAAUUAGCUUCGGAGACAAAGGCUACACAGAUCAGCUGGAGACGCCCCUAAUUCCUGUUGAACCAAAUCCCACAUAUGCUGUGAAUUUGACGGCAGUAUCAGUGGGGCGAAAUGAUCUUGACGUCCAGCUGCUCGCACUCUUUGACACUGGCACAUCAUUUACACACUUACUGGAGCCGGCAUAUGGUCUGAUUACCAAGACUUUUCACGAUAAAGUCACAGACAAGCGACGCCCGACUGAUCCUGAGAUUCCGUUUGAGUUCUGUUACGACUUAAGUCCAAAUACUACAGUCAUUAUAUUCCCUAGAGUAGUGAUGACUUUUGGAGGAGGAUCCCAGAUGAGGAUGGAUCCGCUAUUCACGGUGGUGACUAAGGACAAUACCAUCAUGUACUGCUUGGGUAUUCUGAAGAGCGUGGAUUUCAAGCUUAACAUUAUUGGACAGAACUUGAUGAGGGGCUACCGCAUUGUAUUCGACCGGGAGAGGAUGAUUUUGGGUUGGAAGCGGUCUAAUUGUUUUAGAGAUGACAGCUUACCUGUUACGAGUCCUCCACCACCAGAGAUCGAAGCUCCUCCACCAAUAGCAUCCACUCCACCACCUCUUCCUCCUCCUGCUGCUGCUGCUACACGACCGCGAAUCGACCAUCGUACCUCCACCAGAAACGCUGGCACAGGCGGUGCAGCCAAUCUCAGCCCUCUCGCAUCUCAAAUCUUGCUUCUCCUACCUCUUUUGGCCUUCCUCUGACUCUCACAGAAGCCAUUCGUUUUUGUGUUGGUUUGACCACUGUAUGUUCAAUUAAUAAUAGUCUCCGUCUGAUGAGUAAAACAAUAAUCAAUGGAUUUGUAAGUGGCCAUGUUUAUCUCCCUGCUAAAUGUAUGUAUUUUGUUAUCUAAAUGUUGUGGUUAUGUCAGUGUUGAACCAAACCGUCGCUUCUUCUCGAUUCUCUUUUACCUUGCUUGGCUUGGUGACGGCUGCGAUGGCGAGUAGCGGAAUUCUGGUAACGGAAUUGGUGCUAAGAAACCGGCGAAAACAAAACCUUCAGAUAGCUCCGCCGAGCUCGAGCCUCUGAUGGGUGGGCGACUCUUGGCCUUUUUCGUCUAGGGUUUCUACCAAUUGCCUUAUUGGGAUCCGUCAGAUCAUGGUCCCGCAGCUGCACCUUCAAGUACCGUUUCUUAGCAGCCAAAGACGUGGCCCUUAUGAUCUCACAAAUCCUGAGCUUCGGAAUUUUCCUAGGAACUGAAAUAACUGCUCUUAUCCUCGUGGGAUCAGAACCAUGGAAUCAGGCGAAACUAUGAGUAAGGAUGAAUCUAUAAGGAAGCCAGAUGACUGGGACUAGUGUACAUAUACAUAUAUGGCGUUCUGAUCACAGGGAUACAAGCAUUUACAGCCCUCUGUCCUGCAGGAGCAGGGGAUAACCAGUGCAUCUUUAGAAUAGAACACUAACAAAGAGUAGAAAUCCGGAAGCAGAUGGGGAAUCACGAGAGCAAGAAAGCGGUAUCAGCAAAUUGUCUAUCUGUACUGUGUGGCAGAAUGUUUCAUUGUUCCUGGUGCAUCAACAGUUACAGUCUUUCUAAUUUUGGAACUGAGGUUUUGGAAAGGAACCCCAUUUGCAUGAGGAAGAGAACAAUAUGUUCCAAGCUUUUGUUUGGUAUCUUUUUACAGAGGAAUCAAACUUCUCAGAACCCUUGAAAGAAAAACUAGUACUACAAGAGAGUUUAUAUAGCAUUACAAGGAGAAAGAUGUUUGAUCCCCUGAAGAAAAAAAAGAGAGGAAUUCAGACAGAAGGAAUCAGAAAUGGAAAGAAGAGAACCAGAGGAAAAGUUCAUCGGUGAGGAGGAUGGUAGCGGGUGAGAAGCGGCAGAGUGGACAGCAGAUUUUACGGCUGACAUGGAACCACGUGUCGACGCAGAGACUGUGGAACUCAUGUAAACAAGGCAGGGACUUGAUGACAUCCUCUUCGUCCAUUCUCAUCAGACACACACUGCAACAUUCUUCCUCUCUUCUUCCUCCUCCUCCCUGCACUCUCGGAGCGAGAGGUGUGUGUGUUGGAGAGACAACAACAACAACAACAAAAGGGUUGGUCACUGUUGCGUGAUUUGCAAUGCCUAUCCUCUUUUAUGGAUUACAAUAUCACAUUCUAAAAUCAAUUGAAAGGCUCGAUUGAAUUUAUUAUAUAUAGGUAAGAAGCUUGCGUAUGUGUGUGUCUGGAUUCCAACAGAAGAAAUAUCCAGAUAAGAAGAUGAUUUAGCAUAUCUUGAAUUUUGUUUGUUGUUUUUUUAAAUAGAUUUGCUUUUGUGAUUUGUUUAUGUCUGUAAUAUGAUUUGAUCUUGACUAUAAUUAGGUUGUCAGGUGCCUUAUCCCCUUCAUACCAAUUUUACACAACCGUUUCAUCUUCUUUUCAAAAGAAACGAAAAAAGUAGAUAUUGCAUAAAUGCUCCUUACUAUUUUAUUUUCUUAUAUGACGAGGCCCCUCUAAUUUAUUUUACCUCUGUUUUUGCAUGA